UUCACUUCUCAGCCUUUUGGCUAAGAUCAAGUAUAGUAUCUGAUGAUUUGAUAUGGACUUUUUCCAAACUUACAUCUUAUCCUUCUUAGUACCUAGAACUAGGCUCACUACUAAUGUGUUGUAACAAGUUAAUAUUAGUGUAUUUUUG
ensembl:snRNA U2 U2 spliceosomal RNA